AGGACGACGCUGGCGGCGUGCCUAACACAUGCAAGUCGAACGGGUGAUUCCUUCGGGGAUCACUUAGUGGCGGACGGGUGAGUAACGCGUAGGCAACCUGCCCUUUGCAGAGGGAUAGCCAUUGGAAACGAUGAUUAAAACCUCAUAAUGCCAGACUGAGACAUCUCUAACUGGCCAAAGAUUUAUCGGCAAAGGAUGGGCCUGCGUCUGAUUAGCUAGAUGGCGGGGUAACGGCCCACCAUGGCGACGAUCAGUAGCCGGUCUGAGAGGAUGAACGGCCACAUUGGGACUGAGAUACGGCCCAGACUCCUACGGGAGGCAGCAGUGGGGAAUAUUGGGCAAUGGGGGAAACCCUGACCCAGCAACGCCGCGUGAAGGAAGAAGGCCUUCGGGUUGUAAACUUCUUUUAGUAGGGACGAAUACGUGACGGUACCUACAGAAAAAGCAACGGCUAACUACGUG
rnacentral:rRNA from 1 species